GACGUAGGGGGCAAGCGUUGUUCGGAAUUAUUGGGCGUAAAGGGUGCGUAGGCGGCCUGACAAGUCUGAUGUGAAAUCCCUGGGCUCAACCCAGGGCCUGCAUCGGAAACUGUCGGGCUUGAGUAUGGGAGAGGUGAGUGGAAUUUCCGGUGUAGCGGUGAAAUGCGUAGAUAUCGGAAGGAACACCUGUGGCGAAAGUGGCUCACUGGACCAUUACUGACGCUGAGGCACGAAAGCUAGGGGAGCAAACAGG
rnacentral:rRNA from 1 species